CACCCCCUGUGUCCUCUUUUUCUCCUUAAAAAGAUAGCUACUGAGUCUGAGACCAUGUGGAGAUCAAAUGGAGUCUCCGCUCCCAGGUGCAGUCAUAAGAGUUCAUUGCUACAAGCUUGAAGGAGGAAGGUUUGCAGCAUGACUGGCUAGAACACCGUAAGCUGCUGUGGAAACUAUCAGAUUCAGACCUCAAAGGCAAUGUUACGGUUUGUUGGUUUGUUCAUUUUUUUAUCACUGUAAUAAAGACUUUUUGAAAUGGCUGCUGCUGCA